ensembl:snoRNA Z30 small nucleolar RNA
CUGUGAUGAUGACCUACAAUUUAACUGACCUGGUAUUGCUGGCCUUCGGGUCAGCUCUGACCGGGACAUGACUUCAGUUAAUCUUCUCUCUGAGCAG